AUACGGAGGGUGCAAGCGUUAAUCGGAAUUACUGGGCGUAAAGAGUGCGUAGGCGGUUAUUUAAGUCAGAUGUGAAAGCCCCGGGCUUAACCUGGGAACGGCAUUUGAUACUGGGUAACUCGAGUUUGGGAGAGGCAAGUGGAAUUUCAGGUGUAGCGGUGAAAUGCGUAGAGAUCUGAAGGAACACCAGUGGCGAAGGCGACUUGCUGGCCUAAAACUGACGCUGAGGCACGAAAGCAUGGGUAGCAAACAGGAUUAGAUACCCUGGUAGUCCAUGCCGUAAACGAUGUCAACUAACCGUUGGGUUUCUUUGAAACUUAGUGGUGGAGCUAACGUAUUAAGUUGACCGCCUGGGGAGUACGGUCGCAAGACUAAA
rnacentral:rRNA from 1 species